rnacentral:rRNA from 1 species
GACGAACGCUGGCGGCGUGCUUAACACAUGCAAGUCGAACGGAAAGGCCCUGCUUUUGUGGGGUGCUCGAGUGGCGAACGGGUGAGUAACACGUGAGUAACCUGCCCUUGACUUUGGGAUAACUUCAGGAAACUGGGGCUAAUACCGGAUAGGAGCUCCUGCUGCAUGGUGGGGGUUGGAAAGUUUCGGCGGUUGGGGAUGGACUCGCGGCUUAUCAGCUUGUUGGUGGGGUAGUGGCUUACCAAGGCUUUGACGGGUAGCCGGCCUGAGAGGGUGACCGGCCACAUUGGGACUGAGAUACGGCCCAGACUCCUACGGGAGGCAGCAGUGGGAAAUAUUGCACAAUGGGCGGAAGCCUGAUGCAGCAACGCCGCGUGCGGGAUGACGGCCUUCGGGUUGUAAACCGCUUUCGCCUGUGACGAAGAGUGAGUGACGGUAAUGGGUAAAGAAGCACCGGCUAACUACGUG